rnacentral:rRNA from 1 species
UACGGGGGGGGGCAAGCGUUGUUCGGAAUUACUGGGCGUAAAGGGCGCGUAGGCGGUCAGACCAAGUCGAGUGUGAAAUUCCAGGGCUUAACUCUGGCGCGCUCGCUCGAUACUGGUCGGCUAGAGUGUGGAAGAGGAUGCUGGAAUUCCCGGUGUAGCGGUGAAAUGUGUAGAUAUCGGGAGGAACACCAGUGGCGAAGGCGGGCAUCUGGGCCAACACUGACGCUGAGGCGCGAAAGCUAGGGGAGCAAACAGG